rnacentral:rRNA from 1 species
UACGUAGGGGGCAAGCGUUGUCCGGAUUUAUUGGGCGUAAAGAGCGUGUAGGCGGCCAGGUAGGUCGCUGUGAAAACUCGAGGCUCAACCUCGAGACGUCGAGUGAAACCAUCUGGCUAGAGUCCGGAAGAGGAGAGUGGAAUUCCUGGUGUAGCGGUGAAAUGCGCAGAUAUCAGGAAGAACACCCGUGGCGAAGGCGGCUCUCUGGGACGGUACUGACGCUGAGACGCGAAAGCGUGGGGAGCGAACAGG